UGAGAUGACACGUUGUCUUUGGGCUGUUCC
rnacentral:piRNA from 1 species